rnacentral:rRNA from 1 species
ACUCCUACGGGAGGCAGCAGUGGGGAAUAUUGCACAAUGGGGGAAACCCUGAUGCAGCCAUGCCGCGUGUGUGAAGAAGGCCUUCGGGUUGUAAAGCACUUUCAGUAGGGAGGAAGGUAGUGUAGUUAACACCUGCAUUAUUUGACGUUACCUACAGAAGAAGCACCGGCUAACUCCGUGCCAGCAGCCGCGGUAAUACGGAGGGUGCAAGCGUUAUCCGGAAUCAUUGGGCGUAAAGCGUCCGCAGGCGGUUCUUUAAGUCAAAUAUUAAAUUACGAUGCCCAACAUCGUAGCCGUAUUUGAAACUGGAGAACUAGAGUCAUUCAGAGGUGCGUGGAAUUCUGUGUGUAGGGGUAAAAUCCGUAGAUACACAGAGGAACACCAAAAGCGAAGGCAGCGCACUGGGAAUGUACUGACGCUCAUGGACGAAAGCGUAGGUAGCGAACGGGAUUAGAUACCCUGUAGGUCAGUC